rnacentral:tRNA from 1 species
AUGGCUGUAGCUCAGUGGUAGAGCACUUGCCUAGAAAGCAUGAGGUCCCAAGUUCAAAUCCCAGCCUUG